GAUGAACGCUGGCGGCGUGCCUAAUACAUGCAAGUCGAGCGAACAGACGAGGAGCUUGCUCCUUCGACGUUAGCGGCGGACGGGUGAGUAACACGUAGGUAACCUACCUAUAAGACUGGGAUAACUUCGGGAAACCGGAGCUAAUACCGGAUAAUAUUUCGAACCGCAUGGUUCGAUAGUGAAAGAUGGCUUUGCUAUCACUUAUAGAUGGACCUGCGCCGUAUUAGCUAGUUGGUAAGGUAACGGCUUACCAAGGCAACGAUACGUAGCCGACCUGAGAGGGUGAUCGGCCACACUGGAACUGAGACACGGUCCAGACUCCUGCGGGAGGCAGCAGUAGGGAAUCUUCCGCAAUGGGCGAAAGCCUGACGGAGCAACGCCGCGUGAGUGAUGAAGGUCUUCGGAUCGUAAAACUCUGUUAUUAGGGAAGAACAAACGUGCAAGUAACUGUGCACGUCUUGACGGUACCUAAUCAGAAAGCCACGGCUAACUACGUG
rnacentral:rRNA from 1 species